AUUGAACGCUGGCGGCAGGCCUAACACAUGCAAGUCGAACGAGUGGCGGACGGGUGAGUAAUGUCUGGGAAACUGCCUGAUGGAGGGGGAUAACUACUGGAAACGGUAGCUAAUACCGCAUACCAUCGGAUGUGCCCAGAUGGGAUUAGCUAGUAGGUGGGGUAACGGCUCACCUAGGCGACGAUCCCUAGCUGGUCUGAGAGGAGGACCAGCCACACUGGAACUGAGACACGGUCCAGACUCCUACGGGAGGCAGCAGUGGGGAAUAGUGCACAAUGGGCGCAAGCCUGAUGCAGCCAGGCCGCGUGUAUGAAGAAGGCCUUCGGGUUGUAAAGUACUUUCAGUGGGGAGGCGUUACCCGCAGAAUAAGCACCGGCUAACUCCGUGCCAGCAGCCGCGGUAAUUC
rnacentral:rRNA from 1 species